AUGAGAGAUUACUUCUAUCUAAACCCAACAUAUCCGGAGAAGUACUUUCACCGAAGCUUUCAUAUGCACACAAGUCUUUUUCUAACCAUUGCAAAAGCCGUUGAGAGAUAUGAUGACUGGUUCAAGCUCCAGAGAAAUGCAUCUAGAGAGAUCAGUGCAAGCCCUCUGGUGAAAUGCAUCGCGUAUGUUCGAAUCUUGGCAUAUGGAUGUUCUGCCGAUGCAAUUGAUGACUAUGUACGCAUUGGCGAAGACACAAUCUUGGAGGCUGUUCGAAGGUUCACCAAAGCAAUGAUCGCUGUCUUUGGCCUGGAGUACUUGAGAGCACCAACCGAGGAAGACACCCAAAGGCUGAUGACUGAGAGUGAAGCAAGCGGACGGCCAGGGAUGCUUGGACCACUUGACUGUAUGCACUGGAGAUGGAAAAAUUGUCGA
rnacentral:rRNA from 1 species